CGAAUGGCUCAUUAAAUCAGUUAUCGUUUAUUUGAUAGUACCUUACUACUUGGAUAACCGUGGUAAUUCUAGAGCUAAUACAUGCUAAAAACCCCGACUUCGGGAGGGGUGUAUUUAUUAGAUAAAAAACCAAUGCCCUUCGGGGCUCUUUGGUGAUUCAUGAUAACUUCUCAGAUCGCAUGGCCUUGCGCCGGCGACGGUUCAUUCAAAUUUCUGCCCUAUCAACUUUCGAUGGUAAGGUAUUGGCUUACCAUGGUUUCAACGGGUAACGGGGAAUUAGGGUUCGAUUCCGGAGAGGGAGCCUGAGAAACGGCUACCACAUCCAAGGAAGGCAGCAGGCGCGCAAAUUACCCAAUCCCGACACGGGGAGGUAGUGACAAUAAAUACUGAUACAGGGCUCUUUUGGGUCUUGUAAUUGGAAUGAGUACAAUUUAAACCUCUUAACGAGGAACAAUUGGAGGGCAAGUCUGGUGCCAGCAGCCGCGGUAAUUCCAGCUCCAAUAGCGUAUAUUAAAGUUGUUGCAGUUAAAAAGCUCGUAGUUGAAACUUUGGCCUGGCUGGCAGGUCCGCCUCACCGCGUGCACUUGUCCGGCCGGGCCUUCUCUUCUGGAGAACCGCAUGCCCUUUACUGGGUGUGUUGGGGACCAGGACUUUUACUUUGAAAAAAUUAGAGUGUUCAAAGCAGGCCUUUGCUCGAAUACGUUAGCAUGGAAUAAUAGAAUAGGACGUGCGGUCCUAUUUUGUUGGUUUCUAGGACCGCCGUAAUGAUUAAUAGGGACAGUCGGGGGCAUCAGUAUUCAAUUGUCAGAGGUGAAAUUCUUGGAUUUAUUGAAGACUAACUACUGCGAAAGCAUUUGCCAAGGAUGUUUUCAUUAAUCAGUGAACGAAAGUUAGGGGAUCGAAGACGAUCAGAUACCGUCGUAGUCUUAACCAUAAACUAUGCCGACUAGGGAUCGGGCGGUGUUUCUAUUUUGACUCGCUCGGCACCUU
rnacentral:rRNA from 1 species